rnacentral:rRNA from 1 species
CAGUAGCCGCGGGAAUACGGAGGGGGCUAGCGUUGUUCGGAAUUACUGGGCGUAAAGCGCACGUAGGCUGCUUUGUAAGUCAGAGGUGAAAGCCCAGGGCUCAACCCUGGAAUUGCCUUUAAGACUGCCGAGCUAGUAGGUGAGAGAGGUGAGUGGAAUUCCGAGUGUAGAGGUGAAAUUCGUAGAUAUUCGGAAGAACACCAGUGGCGAAGGCGGCUCACUGGCUCAUUCUAGACGCUGAGGUGCGAAAGCGUGGGGAGCAAACAGGAUUAGAUACCCCCGUAGUCCCUGUCUCUUAUAC